rnacentral:rRNA from 1 species
GACGAACGCUGGCGGCGUGCUUAACACAUGCAAGUCGAACGGAAAGGCCCUGCUUUUGUUGGGUGCUCGAGUGGCGAACGGGUGAGUAACACGUGAGUAACCUGCCCUUGACUUUGGGAUAACUUCAGGAAACUGGGGCUAAUACCGGAUAGGAGCUCCUGCUGCAUGGUGGGGGUUGGAAAGUUUCGGCGGUUGGGGAUGGACUCGCGGCUUAUCAGCUUGUUGGUGGGGUAGUGGCUUACCAAGGCUUUGACGGGUAGCCGGCCUGAGAGGGGGACCGGCCACAUGGGGACUGAGAUACGGCCCAGACUCCUACGGGAGGCAGCAGUGGGGAAUAUUGCACAAUGGGCGGAAGCCUGAUGCAGCAACGCCGCGUGCGGGAUGACGGCCUUCGGGUUGUAAACCGCUGUCGCCUGUGACGAAGCGUGAGUGACAGUAAUGGGUAAAGAAGCACCGGCUAACUACGUG